CCGAGGCCGGAGCAGUGUCUCCGUCUGCUGUGUGAUGGCACCAGUAUCGGAAAAUGUGUUCUUCAUGAGGCGAGACAGCGCAGAGAGGAAGAUGCUGGGUUUCCUUGGCUACCUUUCAUCUGCCUCAGAAAUUAUGAUUUUCCUCGAUUAGCUGGUUCCAUCAGUUAUUGCCAGUAAAAUGCCGUAUCUUCGGCCCUGCCGAUGGCUUGCGUUGCAGACGGGCCAUCUCGCUGCGAGGAGAGGGAACGGCCCCUGCUCUCGGGGCUCCUGCUUUCCUUCUCCACCCCACUGCCACCCCGCUCAUGGCUUUACGCGGUGCCGGAGCAUUUCUGGCUAUGUCAUAUGACCCUGGUCUUCCACCUCUUCCAAAAGGAGUGAUUAUUUUGCAUUCGGUCUCUUACUAGCUGGGAUCCUAAAUUACCUGGCAGGCCCCACUUGCCUUCUGAAGUCUUCUCGCUUUGGAUGUGAAAAUCGUGAACAUGAAAUCACGCUUUCAGGAUCUGCCACGAGGAGCAAAGGCAAACUCUCCUCCAGCAUCAUCGGUGUGGCUUUUAAGGGGAAAAGCAAGGGAGGAUGCAGUAAGACAGGUCCCGAUGACACACCUGGAGGUAAUGCAGUGAUACUAUUGCCUGCGUUGGAAUGUAAAGCCUGCAGGUGGAGAAUCCUCCGGUCUGCUGAAAAGUGCUUCUCAAAGGGUCGGGGUCUGCACGGUCAAAAUUCUUCACCAUUUGGAGAGGUGGAAGCAAGCACUGGAUUUUGUAUGCGCUCUACCAAUGCCAAUUAGCUCCUUUUUUCUCUACUGGCAAUCUUGUGAAAAUCGAUCUCUGUCUAAAAAGAUUGUUCCUAUAGUUGCUAUCAGCUCCUGCCAUAUUUCAAGCGAAUGAAAGGUAUUUACCUCACUGGGAUUGACGUUGUUUUCCGCUGGUCACACUGUCCCUCCUAGACACUGUGUAUGGCAUGGUCCACGCUCAAGUCUAAAUGUUCCAGCCCGUUGCUCUAAAUAACUCCUUGGUUCCUCAUCAGUUUGGCUCCAGGGGUUCUCACACCCUCUUUAUUUCUGCAGACAACUAAAAAAAGGUGCCGGUGUGUGGACAAAGUUGCCGGAUUGUCCAGUGCUUCCCAGCACAAUCACUGUUGACAUUGGAAUUUAAAAACACGAUUAUUUAUAAACAACACGCAAAUGUAGCCAUUUUCUAAAUAUUUGUUUCACAACAGUUGCUGACGAAUCAACAUUUCCCAUCCUUCCCCUUCCAGUAAGUGUCUUAUCUAAGGACAUGCUGCCCUUCCUGCUGGAAAUCCGGCCUUGUCUUUGGAGACCUUGUCUUCGGAGACCUUGUCUUCUCCCUUCCCCUCCCAGGAUCCACCAAGAGGGGAGGAAAAACUACCAAGAAUGAUUUUCACAAGCUAUAUCGCUUCCCAUGAUGCAG
rnacentral:lncRNA from 1 species